rnacentral:rRNA from 1 species
AACAUCCUACGGGGCGCAGCAGUGGGGAAUACUGCACAAUGGGGGAAACCCUGAUGCAGCAACGCCGCGUGAGUGAUGACGGCCUUCGGGUUGUAAAGCUCUGUCUUCAGGGACGAUAAUGACGGUACCUGAGGAGGAAGCCACGGCUAACUACGUGCCAGCAGCCGCGGUAAUACGUAGGUGGCGGGCGUUGUCCGGAUUUACUGGGCGUAAAGGGAGCGUAGGCGGACUUUUAAGUGAGAUGUGAAAUACUCGGGCUCAACUUGAGUGCUGCAUUUCAAACUGGAAGUCUAGAGUGCAGGAGG